rnacentral:rRNA from 1 species
UAGGGAAUCUUCGGCAAUGGACGAAAGUCUGACCGAGCAACGCCGCGUGAGUGAAGAAGGUUUUCGGAUCGUAAAACUCUGUUGUUAGAGAAGAACAAGGACGUUAGUAACUGAACGUCCCCUGACGGUAUCUAACCAGAAAGCCACGGCUAACUACGUGCCAGCAGCCGCGGUAAUACGUAGGUGGCAAGCGUUGUCCGGAUUUAUUGGGCGUAAAGCGAGCGCAGGCGGUUUCUUAAGUCUGAUGUGAAAGCCCCCGGCUCAACCGGGGAGGGUCAUUGGAAACUGGGAGACUUGAGUGCAGAAGAGGAGAGUGGAAUUCCAUGUGUAGCGGUGAAAUGCGUAGAUAUAUGGAGGAACACCAGUGGCGAAGGCGGCUCUCUGGUCUGUAACUGACGCUGAGGCUCGAAAGCGUGGGGAGCAAAACAGG